rnacentral:rRNA from 1 species
UACGUAGGGUGCGAGCGUUGUCCGGAAUUACUGGGCGUAAAGCGUGCGUAGGUGGUUUGUCGCGUCUGCUGUGAAAACUCGGGGCUUAACCCCGGGCCUGCAGUGGGUACGGGCAGACUAGAGUGCGGUAGGGGAGACUGGAAUUCCUGGUGUAGCGGUGAAAUGCGCAGAUAUCAGGAGGAACACCGGUGGCGAAGGCGGAUCUCUGGGCCUUACCUGACGCUGAGGAGCGAAAGCAUGGGGAGCAAACAGG